CGAAACCCAUCUUUUAAAAAAAAAGAUCAAAUAAAACCCUCCUCCAACAAAGAAAAACCCUAGCCCAAAAACUCAUUACUGUUGAAACUAUAGCGUGCUGCCAACCAAAACCAAAAACGAAGACCUGUGCUCUGCUCCGGCGACGAUCUGCUCCAGUGACUGCUCUAGCGACUGCUUCGGUGAUGAUCUGCUCCAGUGACUAAUCCAGCGAUGAUCUUCUCAGCGGCGUUAUCCUCCGACGAGAUUGUGUGCUCUCUCCAGCAACGAUCUCCUCUAGCAGGUUCUCCUCCAUCGGCGCGUUCUCUUCCGGCUACAAUCUCUGUGUGAGAGCAAGUUUGAUCUUCUUUCUCUCUCUCAAUUUUCUACUCUUGUAAAAAAUACCUAAAAAUUUGAAAUGAAAAAUCAAGUUCCAGAAACUUCGUAUAAAACUAUGAGAUCUGUUGCGCAAGUGUUUCUUCCAACGUUCUUCUCCGGCGGCGAUCUCCUCCAUUAACGCUUCUCUUCCAUUGAUGAGAUCUAUUACGCAAGUGUUUCCUGCGGCAUCGAGUUGUGUUCUGCGAUUUCUCCAUUUCCAUCGAGCUUCAUUGAGCAUCUAGGUUUUUGAUUUUCUUCCUUGUCAGAAGAAAUUGGAGCUUUCUGAGCACUUGAAGAAAUACCUUGGUACCAGGCAUGAAUUAAAUGGAGGAUUUACAUGGCUCUCAUUCAUAGAACAGAAGACAACUUAGAGGCAUCUAGUAGGGGAAUGGUUAAUAUAAAAAUACCUUGGGAACAUAUUGAUAAUUUAGUGUUACCUCUCUACAACCUCUUUUUUGUUUUGUUUUGUUUUAAAUUAAAUUGCUCUGCUGUAUAUUAUUUUGAUGGUUCAGUUAAGACCCGCAAAGAAGCCAAACGAAUGGCCUUGUCGGAUGCUAUUGCCUCUGCAAAGGCUAGAGUGGAAGGCCUUAAGGCAAGCAUUUAGCAGCAGCAGACAAAGAAACAAGACUUUGUGGAAUUUCCUGCUCAACAGUCCUUUGAUUUGAGCUGAAUAUCAUAUAGUGGGGUUGAGCAAUUUGAAGGCUGUUUGAUGAGAAAGGAAAGCUUCUUGGUUCUUCUAGCAGCCCAAUUCAGAUAUGGAAAGAUGGUGCUUUUGUUGAGAUUCAUCUUUUUGUGCUAAACAGCAAUCCUCCACAGAUAUAUGGCUUGCAAUCUGUGCAGCUGUAAAAGCAGCUUGCUCUCAAGCAAAAGUUACACCUACAGAAGUAAGAAGUCUAGGAUUUGCAACUACUUGUUCUCUGGUUGCAGUGGAUGUCGAUAGUGCACCUGUUUCAGUUUCUUUGGCUGAUAAUUCAAGAAGAAAUGUCAUAGUAUGGAUGGAUCAUAUAGCUUUAGAACAAGCUGAAAGGAUCAAUUCCUCUAACUCACCUGUAUUACAGUAUUGCGGUGGAGCUGUUUCACCUGAAAUGCAGCCACCAAAGUUUCUUUUUUGGUUUUUUUGAAUCUAUCCGGAGAAUCUAAAGGCCUGAGCAGAAUAAUAUGAAUUUUUACAGCAACAGGAUAGCUUAUCUUUUAGAGAAGUGUAAAGAGAUCAUGAAUUUUGUGGUAGCACCAAGCUGAACAAAUUAUUUUCACUUUAAUCAGGUUUGUCCAAAUAUGUCAGGCUCGUUAUAGGUGUCACAGAUCUUUUAAAUAUUACAAAUGCAGAUGAAGGGGGAAGAUGGCCAGGAGAGAACUCAGGAAACUGAAGAUGGCAAGUGGGCAAAGGUUGAGAGGAUCAAGAAGAGGAUGAAGAAGGGGAAACAGAGAAAAUUCCAAAGGUUGAGUUGGAUAGAAAGAACAGGAUGCGUUGUUUCAUGCUCCUCAUUAGGCAACAGUUACAAUAUCUCUUGGGAGGCACCGUUGGACGAGCCAGCGAAGCAAAGGAUGCUUAAGGUUAAGGAGCCAUUGAGUUUACUUAUGACGUAAUUGCAAGGAAGUGGAAGCAUAACAAGAAAGGAUUUGCUCAUGAAUUUUGACAAUAUUUACCUUUGUUUAAUUUAAAGCUCUUGAAUUAUGAUGGAUUCCAUGACCGCGUUAUUCUAUUGUUAAUUUAAAGAAUAAUGUUGGCAUUAGGUGCUCCUCUUUUUUAUCCAAUCAAGUUUCCUUUGAUUGUCUUCCAAUCGACUUUACCCUUU